UCACUCUCAGCCACCGCCUUCUCUUUCAUAGUCUUUCUCACUCUCAGCCAUUUCAACCUAAAAGAGAAUCUGUAGAGAGAAAGUGAAAAGGCUUGUUACGAUCUGUGUCUAAUUUGCUCUAAUUAGUUAGUUGAAGUGAUGAAAUUGUAUGAUUAUGCAGUUUUUAAUUUGUAAUUUUGGAUCUGAAUGUGUUGUAAGCUUUUAACAUUUUCUUUUCAC
rnacentral:lncRNA from 1 species